rnacentral:rRNA from 1 species
CAGCAGCCACGGUAAUACGAAGGGUGCAAGCGUUAAUCGGAAUUACUGGGCGUAAAGCGUGCGUAGGCGGUUUGUUAAGUCUGUUGUGAAAUCCCCGGGCUCAACCUGGGAAUGGCAAUGGAUACUGGCAAGCUAGAGUGUGUCAGAGGAUGGUGGAAUUCCCGGUGUAGCGGUGAAACGCGUAGAGAUCGGGAGGAACAUCAGUGGCGAAGGCGGCCAUCUGGGACAACACUGACGCUGAGGCACGAAAGCGUGGGGAGCAAACAGGAUUAGAUACCCCCGUAGUCCCUGUCUCUUAUAA